UUGAUUUGGGAUGAAGGAAUAGCUUUCUUCAAUACACUUAUUUCACUCUUUGUAGAUUUUGUUUAUAUAAAACCUUUAUAUUAUACAAUUAUCAAUGAGAUAUACAUGCCAAAAAAUUAAUUUAAAAACUCAAAAAUAAAAAAAACACAUUGAUAUUUUUUUAUUAACUGUUUAGAUUAAUUAAUUAACUAAUUUUUGUGGAUCUUAUCUACAAGAUACUUUCUUAUUUAUUUUAUUUUUUUUCAUGGCAAAAACAAUGACAACUUUUUAUUAAAAAAAUCACAAAUUUGCAGUAUGUAAAUGAAAUCCAAUAAUUUGUCAAACAAUGGUCUAAAAUAGUGUAGUAGAAUAACAAAUUGAUUACGUUUAUUUAAAAAUAAUCUUUAAAACAUCUUCAAAAACAAAUGUCAUGUAGCGUCCAAAAGAUGCAAAUUUUAUAGAACAUAUGUUUUAAACCAUUUACAGUCCAAUAUGUUAUGUCCAAAAAUUAUUUGUUUUUAUUACUUUGAUUUCAAUUUGCUAGUUGCGAGUAAAAAUAAAUUAAAAUAUACUGGUAUUUACAAAACGAUUUAGCUAUAAUUAUUUUUGUUAUAUUAUUGUCACUAUAAACUUUGAUUAUAAUAAGAAUAUUAAUGAUGUAAAAAUAUAUCAAGCACCUUUCAUCUUGUUAGCCUUUGAUUACUUGUUAUUGACACAUAUCAUUGAUUAUAUAUCAAUUAUCAUGGUAAUUAUAAUAUUAAUGUUUUUCAAUGUUUUUUCUUUCUGUCAUUCUUAAGGUAAUUAUACUGAAGGAAAAUAUCCCAUUAAUGCUGCUGUUCUAUUGAAGUGACAUUGAUCUACUUGUGUUGUAAAAUGGUGGGGAUGCAUACAUUUUUGUGAUUCAUUUUAUAAAGCUACCAAAUUUAUUUUUUAAAAAAUAAAAAAUAAAAAAAGAAACAAACUCUUUGGUUCUAAGUUUAAUUCGUUUGUAACAACUUCUUUAAUUUUAUUUUCAUGUGAACUCACUUUUAAAUUUUUUUUACAAAUUAUCUUGGAUAAAAUUAUUUUAUUUUUUAUAUUUCAUUUCUUAUCAAAAUUCUACUUAAUAUUGCCAUAACUAUCAAUUCGAUUUUAAUUUUUUGUGUGGUAUCUUUGCAUACAUGUGAAAAAAUUCAAAUGUGGUUUUGUUAGAUACCAAAGGUGAGCAAAAUACCCUUCUAAUUUCAAAACAAGGUCAUGCUAGAAUCUUGUAGACAUGUGCCAUAGAUAUUCAACUGAAUGUAACGUUUUUUGGCACAAGUCUGGAACUUUGAGGCUUCUAGAAUUUGUUUAAUUGAAAAAUGCAUUGAAAUUGUUAAGAUUUGAGGAAAUUAUAUAAUCAAACAAACACACUAUUAGAAUUUAUCACUACAAUAGACACAAUGACAAAUAAAUUAUUUCUUAAUCUUAGAAGUUUAUAUGUAAUCAACACCAAGAUUUUUAGUGUGCUAAAAAAUUAUUUAAAAACUUAUGACUCAAAUUAAAAUCCCAACUACACAAUUGAGAGAUGGAACCCCACAACGGCAACUUAAAGCAAUGAUAUGAAAAAAUACCUCUACUCUGAACUUUCUACUUCCAAUAGAAAAUUUCUACUUAUAUCUUUGGAGCUUUCUAUCAUAAAACUUUUCAUCAAAGUGCAGAUUAAAGACUUGAUGGGAUAAAACUCUCAGAUAUACCAUCAAGAAGAAGGACUAAAUUUAAAUUAAGCAAAAAGGUACAUUUUAUUUUAUUUUCUUUGCUUUUGAGGUUUUUUCAUUCACAUCCUCUUCUUGUAAUGUGAUUAGACCAAUUUUUUAUUUUUUUAUUUCCUUAUUUUCUCAUUAGUGGAUAAUAAAUGGCACAAAUAUUAACACAAAAAAAAUGUAUUAUUCGAAAUGAAUCAGCAUGGUAUGUAGAAGUUUGAAAAUGCACUAUAGAGCGCGUGAUACUUGACUUUUGAU
rnacentral:lncRNA from 1 species